rnacentral:rRNA from 1 species
AUUGAACGCUGGCGGCAGGCCUAACACAUGCAAGUCGAGCGGAGCGGCGGACGGGUGAGUAAUGCCGAGGAAUCUGCCUGGUAGUGGGGGAUCACGUCCGGAAACGGGCGCUAAUACCGCAUACUAGCAGAUGAGCCUAGGUCGGAUUAGCUAUUUGGUGGGGUAAAGGAUUACCAAGGCGACGAUCCGUAACUGGUCUGAGAGGAUGAUCAGUCACACUGGAACGGAGACACGGUCCAGACUCCUACGGGAGGCAGCAGUGGGGAAUAUUGGACAAUGGGCGAAAGCCUGAUCCAGCCAUGCCGCGUGUGUGAAGAAGGUUUUCGGAUUGUAAAGCACUGUAAGUUGGGAGGCGUUACCAAAAGAAUAAGCCCCGGCUAACUUCGUGCCAGCAGCCGCGGUAAUAC